rnacentral:rRNA from 1 species
AUGCCAUCUUUUGGACUAUGCUGCCAACAUGGCAAGGUUGAGUUGCCACCAUUAAGAGAGCCACCGACUUACCUAGUGAAAUUGCUAAGGAAAGACAACGGAAAGACGUCAAAAAACUGCUUGCAAAAUAUCAGAUUGUACAACUCCAUGUUCGCUUUCACAACAAUGGGAGGAAAAGUAGACAAAGAAAUAAACAAUGGCAGUGGGCCAUAUGUUUUUAGAAUGAAUGGGCAGAACUACCACAGAAUAGGUACUCUAUUGCCUGAAGGUGAAGAUAAACCACGUUGGGCACAACUGUACAUCUAUGAUAAUGAAAAUGAGGUAAGAAACAGGAUUAAUGCUUCGACAAGGGAAGAUAAAAGGGAGUCAAUAGAUCCUCACAUCGUAGAGGGCCUUAAAAAUAUGCUUGAUAGAGAUAACAUACUUGCAAAAACUUUCAGAAUGGCAAGGGACAGAUUCGAAGAAGGUGACUAUCAAAACGUGAGAUUAAAAGUAAUCAAUAAGCGACGCUCAGAUGGAAGACGAAGUGACAUGCCAUCUGCAAGUGAAGUUGCAGCCUUGAUUGUCAAUGAUGCCACGGAAAGUAGAAAAGGACGGGAUAUCAUUGUUGAGUACAAAAACAUGAAGCCAAGAAGAAUAUCAGAGAACCAUCCAAAAUUCAUGGCUAUGCAGUAUCCACUAUUGUUCCCAUAUGGAGAAGAUGGGUACAGACAAAAUAUACCUUACAUAUUAAAACAAGGUGCAAAAUGUAAGAGAAAGCAUGUAACAAUGUUGGAAUACUAUGCAUAUCGUCUACAACAACGUACUAACCAAUCGAUGCACUUGCUGGUGUGUGAAAAGCUUACAUUGCAGUUCAUUGUGGAUGCCCUUGCAUGCAUUUUGCAGUAG